rnacentral:misc_RNA from 1 species
AUGUACAGCACAAACGCGUCCAACCAGCCGGAGCGCUCCAAUUCCCAAGCAGCUCCAACUACAAGUUACUUGAGUCGCGAGGUACGCACUGCAGCCGAGCACACAGAGCCUGUCAAUCUGACUCAGCAGCAGCUGCCCGUCACGGACUAUGUCCAACGCUCCUAUGUGGAGCAGCGUGCACUUCCCACUUCCGACUAUUCCGCGCGCUCCCAGCUAGAACAGUCCAAUCUCAGCACAGAACGCUUCAUGCAGCAGCGGGCGCCGCCGCCUAAUCCAGAGUAUAACAGACCCCGAGCCAGCUUGGAGCGCACCGAUUACACCGCUAAAGAACGCACCAGCACUGAAACCAACAACAACAGCAACAAUUACAACGAUUAUGUGCUCCAGGAGCGUUCCAAUCCCAACUAUGUUUUGCCAUCGCAGAUGCGUCCAGCUGCGGGGCCACCACAGCACCGUCCGCCCUUUGCGGGCGCACGUCCCAUGGUGGGCGUGGGGCCACGUCCACCGCUGCCGCCCAAUAUGGCAGCCAGGCCCAUGCCACCGCCGCUGCGCCCAACCGACAGCAAGAGCAACUUGCUCAUGGGCCCGCCACCACCAGCCAUGCGGCCGGGCAUGCCGCCCGCACGUAUGCCCAACCAGGGCGGACCACUUAGCCCACCAGGGCAGGGCGCGCCCAGGCCUCAAGGCGGAUUUCCCUGGUCGGCGGGAGGCAUGCCGCCGCCACCGGGCGCACGUCCGCCACAGAACAUGUCUCGACCGCCGCCGCCCACAUUUGCGCGUCCCAUGCCAGGGCAGCCGCUGCAGGCGCCUUUCCGUCCGCCGCUCUACAACCAGCAGCAGCAGCAGCAGCACCAGCAGCAGCAAUUGCAACAGCUGCAGCAGCAACAACAAUUGCAGCAGCCGCAGCAACAGCAGCAUCAGCCACGCCCACCCUCAGCCAGCAGUGUGCACAAUGAGGAUGACGAUGACGUCAUCAUGGGUCAAGCCUUAACCCCGCUCAAGAGCUACAGCAUGAAGGCUGAUCCCAUGGGCUCCCCACUGCUAGAGGAAACAGAGCCCCCAUUUGAAGCCACAUCGCCAACAGAUGCAUUGCCCAAGUCACAGGGCGGUUACAAGGGUGACAAUGACAGCGGCGUGGAUGAAUCGACUCAGGAGAAGGAUCGCAACGGACCGCAUUCGCCCAGCUCGCCGGUCAAGACGCCCACAUCAAGCUCAUCGAAGCCAGACAAGUCGGGCAUAUCGCGCCCUCCGAGUGCCACGCCCUCAAAUAAAUCAGCAUCCAAGUCGCGCAGCGCCUCCAAGAAUCGUUUGCUGCUAAAGACACCCGAGCCUGAGCCGGCCAAGAAAGUUCCAAUGAACAAGGUACAGGUGGGACAUGCCCCUUCGCCCAAUCUGAAGGCGGUACGCUCCAAAAUUGGUUCGCUGGACAAUGCUACCUAUAAGCCCGGCGGCGGUCAUGUUAAAAUUGAGUCCAAGAAAAUUGAGAUUAAGGCAGCGCCACGCAUCGAGGCCAAGAAUGACAAGUAUAUGCCCAAGGGUGGCGAAAAGAAGAUAGUAACAACAAAGUUGCAGUGGAAUGCAAAAUCGAAAAUUGGUUCGCUGGAGAAUGCCGCCCAUAAGCCCGGCGGCGGCGAUAAAAAGAUCGAGUCCCUCAAAAUGGACUUCAAGGACAAGGCCAAGCCGAAGGUCGGCUCCAAGGACAAUGUGAAGCAUCAGCCCGGCGGCGGCGAUAUCAAGGAUAACAACACAAAGAAUAUACAAUCGCAAAAAAUAGAAAUUAAGGCACAAAGCAAAGUUGGCUCGAUGGAUAAUGUUAAGCACAAGCCCGGUGGCGGUGAGAAGAAGAUUUUCGAUGAUAAGGAUUAUUUGAAAAAUGUUGAACACUCUGUUGCACUGACAACACCACCAACACAGGAAUAUAUAUAUACAUUUUAUUAGUCAUAGUCAUACGAAAACUCUUAACCAAGUGCAUUAAAUUCGAAACAGAAAAGAACCGUAUACUCGUACUAUACUAAUGUGACGUCCAUUAAACCGACUUCUAGUUAUGAAACGAUGCGAUUUUAUGCCAUAUUUUCGUAUAACGCUCACGAUUAAAGUCCUAGUCCACAACCAUCCAUGACGGCUUCAACAAGCGGCGCUGAUGAAAAUUUAAAUCAACAAAGUUAAAUCCAGUCCAAAUAUGCAUGUUGAGCUGAAGUUUUACUUUCGUUUGAUGCAAAUUUGCAAAUUACAUAAAUUGCAAAAGAAGAAAAAAACUAAAUUGAAAAUAACAAAUAAAAAAAAAAGAAUUUUGAACAAAGCUUAUUUGAAAAAUGUAAUCUUAAGCAAAAGUUACACAAAUUGAAAUAUAUGCAAUAAUUACCACACAAUACGAGUAUUUACUCAAAAUUAAAUUGUGCAAGCACACAACACACACUCCGUUACAAAAA